AGUAAUACAUCGGAACGUGUCUUCUAGUGGGGGAUAACUGCCCGAAAGGGCAGCUAAUACCGCAUGAGACCUGAGGGUGAAAGCGGGGGAUCGCAAGACCUCGCGCUGGAAGAGCGGCCGAUGUCCGAUUAGCUAGUUGGUGAGGUAAAGGCUCACCAAGGCGACGAUCGGUAGCUGGUCUGAGAGGAUGACCAGCCACACUGGGACUGAGACACGGCCCAG
rnacentral:rRNA from 1 species